UACGUAGGGUGCAAGCGUUAAUCGGAAUUACUGGGCGUAAAGCGUGCGCAGGCGGUUGGGCAAGACAGAUGUGAAAUCCCCGGGCUUAACCUGGGAACUGCAUUUGUGACUGCCCGGCUAGAGUGUGUCAGAGGGGGGUAGGAAUUCCACGUGUAGCAGUGAAAUGCGUAGAUAUGUGGAGGAAUACCGAUGGCGAAGGCAGCCCCCCUGGGAUAACACUGACGCUCAUGCACGAAAGCGUGGGGAGCAAACAGG
rnacentral:rRNA from 1 species